GACAGAGGGUGCAAACGUUGCUCGGAAUUACUGGGCGUAAAGCGCGUGUAGGCGGACCGGAAAGUCAGAUGUGAAAUCCCUGGGCUCAACCCAGGAACUGCAUUUGAAACUUCCGGUCUUGAGUGGUGGAGAGGAGAGCGGAAUUCCUGGUGUAGAGGUGAAAUUCGUAGAUAUCAGGAGGAACACCGGUGGCGAAGGCGGCUCUCUGGACACUUACUGACGCUGAGACGCGAAAGCGUGGGGAGCGAACAGG
rnacentral:rRNA from 1 species